rnacentral:rRNA from 1 species
UACGUAGGGUGCAAGCGUUAAUCGGAAUUACUGGGCGUAAAGCGUGCGCAGGCGGCUUUGCAAGACAGAUGUGAAAUCCCCGGGCUUAACCUGGGAACUGCAUUUGUGACUGCAUGGCUGGAGUGCGGCAGAGGGGGAUGGAAUUCCGCGUGUAGCAGUGAAAUGCGUAGAUAUGCGGAGGAACACCGAUGGCGAAGGCAAUCCCCUGGGCCUGCACUGACGCUCAUGCACGAAAGCGUGGGGAGAAAACAGG